rnacentral:rRNA from 1 species
AUUGAACGCUGGCGGCAGGCUUAACACAUGCAAGUCGAGCGGAGAUGAGGUGCUUGCACCUUAUCUUAGCGGCGGACGGGUGAGUAAUGCUUAGGAAUCUGCCAUUUAGUGGGGGACAACAUUCCGAAAGGGAUGCUAAUACCGCAUACGUCCUACGGGAGAAAGCAGGGGAUCUUCGGACCUUGCGCUAAAUGAUGAGCCUAAGUCGGAUUAGCUAGUUGGUGGGGUAAAGGCCUACCAAGGCGACGAUCUGUAGCGGGUCUGAGAGGAUGAUCCGCCACACUGGGACUGAGACACGGCCCAGACUCCUACGGGAGGCAGCAGUGGGGAAUAUUGGACAAUGGGCGGAAGCCUGAUCCAGCCAUGCCGCGUGUGUGAAGAAGGCCUUUUGGUUGUAAAGCACUUUAAGCGAGGAGGAGGCUACCUGGAUUAAUACUCUGGGAUAGUGGACGUUACUCGCAGAAUAAGCACCGGCUAACUCUGUGCCAGCAGCCGCGGUAAUACAGAGGGUGCGAGCGUUAAUCGGAUUUACUGGGCGUAAAGCGUGCGUAGGCGGCUUUUUAAGUCGGAUGUGAAAUCCCCGAGCUUAACUUGGGAAUUGCAUUCGAUACUGGGAAGCUAGAGUAUGGGAGAGGAUGGUAGAAUUCCAGGUGUAGCGGUGAAAUGCGUAGAGAUCUGGAGGAAUACCGAUGGCGAAGGCAGCCAUCUGGCCUAAUACUGACGCUGAGGUACGAAAGCAUGGGGAGCAAACAGGAUUAGAUACCCUGGUAGUCCAUGCCGUAAACGAUGUCUACUAGCCGUUGGGGCCUUUGAGGCUUUAGUGGCGCAGCUAACGCGAUAAGUAGACCGCCUGGGGAGUACGGUCGCAAGACUAAAACUCAAAUGAAUUGACGGGGGCCCGCACAAGCGGUGGAGCAUGUGGUUUAAUUCGAUGCAACGCGAAGAACCUUACCUGGCCUUGACAUACUAGAAACUUUCCAGAGAUGGAUUGGUGCCUUCGGGAAUCUAGAUACAGGUGCUGCAUGGCUGCCGUCAGCUCGUGUCGUGAGAUGUUGGGUUAAGUCCCGCAACGAGCGCAACCCUUUUCCUUACUUGCCAGCAUUUCGGAUGGGAACUUUAAGGAUACUGCCAGUGACAAACUGGAGGAAGGCGGGGACGACGUCAAGUCAUCAUGGCCCUUACGGCCAGGGCUACACACGUGCUACAAUGGUCGGUACAAAGGGUUGCUACCUAGCGAUAGGAUGCUAAUCUCAAAAAGCCGAUCGUAGUCCGGAUUGGAGUCUGCAACUCGACUCCAUGAAGUCGGAAUCGCUAGUAAUCGCGGAUCAGAAUGCCGCGGUGAAUACGUUCCCGGGCCU